UACGAAGGGGGCUAGCGUUGUUCGGAAUUACUGGGCGUAAAGCGCACGUAGGCGGAUAUUUAAGUCAGGGGUGAAAUCCCAGAGCUCAACUCUGGAACUGCCUUUGAUACUGGGUAUCUCGAGUAUGGAAGAGGUGGGUGGAAUUCCUGGUGUAGUGGUGAAAUGCGUAGAGAUCAGGAGGAACACCGGUGGCGAAGGCGGCCCACUGGGCUGUCACUGACGCUGAUGCACGAAAGCGUGGGGAGCAAACAGG
rnacentral:rRNA from 1 species